AUUGAACGCUGGCGGCAUGCCUUACACAUGCAAGUCGAACGGCAGCACGGGUGCUUGCACCUGGUGGCGAGUGGCGAACGGGUGAGUAAUACGUCGGAACGUACCUUAUCGUGGGGGAUAACGCAGCGAAAGCUGUGCUAAUACCGCAUACGCCCUGAGGGGGAAAGCGGGGGAUCGCAAGACCUCGCGCGAUUAGAGCGGCCGAUGCCUGAUUAGCUUGUUGGUGGGGUAAAAGCCCACCAAGGCGACGAUCAGUAGCUGGUCUGAGAGGACGAUCAGCCCCACUGGGACUGAGACACGGCCCAGACUCCUACGGGAGGCAGCAGUGGGGAAUUUUGGACAAUGGGGGCAACCCUGAUCCAGCAAUGCCGCGUGAGUGAAGAAGGCCUUCGGGUUGUAAAGCUCUUUUGUCAGGGAAGAAACACCGGCUCUAACACAGUCCGGGAAUGACGGUACCUGAAGAAUAAGCACCGGCUAACUACGUGCCAGCCGCCGCCGUAA
rnacentral:rRNA from 1 species